ensembl:lncRNA
UAAAAUUAAUGAAGUUCUUACAAAGGUAUGAGUUAUGUUACCACAUAAAUCAAGAUAUAGAAUAGUCUAUCCUAAUAGCAGUUAGCAUUUAUCUAUAUAUUUGUUUGUAGUUUAUACCUUUUAAUUGUUGAGUAAAAUUCAAUUAUAUGGAUACAGUUGACCCAGGGGAGGGUCAAUGGUUUGUUUAAAGUUUUGUACAAUUACAAAUAAAACAUCCAUAAAUAUCCACAUACAGAUUUUUGUGUGAACUUACACUAUCAUUUAAAGUAUGUAAAAAAUUUAGAGUGAGAUUUCUGGGUCAUGAUAAGUGUGUGUUUGUCUUUGUAAGAAAUUGCCCAACUGUGGGUGACUGUAAUAUUUUUCAUUUCCUCCAGCAUAAGUGAGAGUUCAGUUCCUCUUCAUCCUCCUUAGAACUUAGCAUUGUAGAGGCAUAUUACCUUUUUAGCCCUUUUGCAAAAUUGUUGUACCAUUUCACAUUCCCACCACCCAACAUUGUGUAACAGCUUUAGUUGCUCCCUAGUCUUCUCAGCACUUGCCAUAAUCAGUCUAAUUUUAAAUUACAUUUUGUAGUGAUAUCUCAUUUGUAUGCCUCCAAAGAUAAAUUAUGUUCAGUAUCUUUUAUGUGCUGCUUUGUCAUCCAUUUAUCAUACUUUGCCCAUUAAAAAAAAAAGUGUUGGUUUAUCUCAAACUAUUGAAUUUUGAGAGUUCUUUAUAAAUUCCAGAUACAAGGUCCUCAGCAGCCAUGUGACUAACAAAUAUUCAGCCUGGUGGUAAUUUUUAAGUAGUACUUUUUCAUUUUUAUAAAGUUCAAAUUACUAAACUAUACCUUGUGCAGACUGUGCUUUUGGUGUUACAUAUAAAAAAUUUUGCCUAAUUCAGGAUCCCAGAUAUUUUGUAUUAUUUUCUUUGGAAGUUUUUUAGUUUUAGGGUUUUACAUUUAACAAAAAAUCUUUUUUGAGUUAAUUUUGUAUUGAGAGUAAAGUGGGGAUAAGGGUCAUUAUUUUUUAACAUGAAUAUCAAAUUAUUCCUAGGGCUGGGGAUUUAGCUCAGUGGUUUCGCUGCCUGCUGCGCAAGCGCAAGGACCAGAGUUCGAUCCCCGGUACCAAAAAAAAAAAAAUUAUUCCUGUACUGUUUGUAAAUAAAAUUUAUUCUUUCUGCAUAGCUUUCUGUUUUUACUCUUAUAGAAAAAUCAACAGGUUGCAUAUGUGUGGGAGUAUUUUGUCUUCUGUUGCUCUAUAAGUCUAGCCUUUCUCUAAAAGCACAAAGAUAUCUUAUUGUCUACAUCUCUUUCAAAAAUAUUUUUAGUCAUUGACCAAAGGAUCAAAAUAUGCAUCUUUAUUUAUACAAAAUCCACUUUGCAAUAAUAUGCUGCUUCACAUGUUGAAUAAGGACCUUGCAACAGUAUAAUUCUGAUUCUUCCUUUUCAUACUUGAUGCUAUUGCUGCCAUAGCUUUUGCUUUUAAAUAUUCUAUAAAUAUGCAAUAUCUUGCUAAUAUUUUUGUGAGUAUUGGCAAACUAUGACUCAUAGGCCAAGUGUGCCCUCUUUGUAUAGCAUCUGCCUGUUUUCAAACAGCCUACAAGAUAAAAAUGGUUUUUACAUUUUUUAAAUACUUAGAAAAAAUCCAAAGGAUAAUAUUUUGUGACAUAUAAACAUAUGAAUCUAAAAUUUCAGUGUAUAUAAAUAAAGUUUUAUUGGAAUGCAGGCAAGCUCACUUAUUUAUACAUUAUCCAUGGCAGUUGUAACCAAUACAGAUCUCAGCAGCUGCAGUAGACACCAUAUGGGCUGCAUAGCUGAAUGUAUCCAUAGCCAUUGACCAGACCCUGCUUUUAAAUAUUAGUUUUCUUCUAGGGCAGUUAAAAAUAAGAAAAAAUAAAUAAAUUCUAAUAUUGUAUGAUUUUUCAGC